CAUUUCUAGCUUGCUAGAAGAUGACGAGUGGCGGACGGGUGAGUAAUACUUAGGAAUAUGCCUUUGUGUGGGGGAUAACCAUUGGAAACGAUGGCUAAUACCGCAUAACGUCUUCGGACCAAAGGGGGCUUCUGCUCCCGCGCAAAGAGUAGCCUAAGCGAGAUUAGCUUGUUGGUGAGGUAAAGGCUCACCAAGGCGACGAUCUCUAGCUGUUCUGAGAGGAAGAUCAGCCACACUGGAACUGAGACACGGUCCAGACUCCUACGGGAGGCAGCAGUGGGGAAUAUUGCACAAUGGGGGAAACCCUGAUGCAGCCAUGCCGCGUGUGUGAAGAAGGCCUUCGGGUUGUAAAGCACUUUCAGUUGUGAGGAAAGGUUGAUGGUUAAUACCCAUUAGCUGUGACGUUAGCAACAGAAGAAGGACCGGCUAACUCCGUGCCAGCAGCCGCGGUAAU
rnacentral:rRNA from 1 species